rnacentral:tRNA from 1 species
CACAGUGUGGCAUAGUGGUUUGAGUGUUGGACUACGACUCUGGAGGCCAGGGUUCGAUUCCCAGCUUGGCCA